rnacentral:rRNA from 2 species
UGAGGUGCUUGCACCUUAUCUUAGCGGCGGACGGGUGAGUAAUGCUUAGGAAUCUGCCUAUUAGUGGGGGACAACAUUCCGAAAGGAAUGCUAAUACCGCAUACGCCCUACGGGGGAAAGCAGGGGAUCUUCGGACCUUGCGCUAAUAGAUGAGCCUAAGUCGGAUUAGCUAGUUGGUGGGGUAAAGGCCUACCAAGGCGACGAUCUGUAGCGGGUCUGAGAGGAUGAUCCGCCACACUGGGACUGAGACACGGCCCAGACUCCUACGGGAGGCAGCAGUGGGGAAUAUUGGACAAUGGGCGGAAGCCUGAUCCAGCCAUGCCGCGUGUGUGAAGAAGGCCUUUUGGUUGUAAAGCACUUUAAGUGAGGAGGAGGCUCUCUUAGUUAAUACCUAGGAUGAGUGGACGUUACUCGCAGAAUAAGCACCGGCUAACUCUGUGCCAGCAGCCGCGGUAAUACAGAGGGUGCGAGCGUUAAUCGGAUUUACUGGGCGUAAAGCGUGCGUAGGCGGCUGAUUAAGUCGGAUGUGAAAUCCCUGAGCUUAACUUAGGAAUUGCAUUCGAUACUGGUCAGCUAGAGUAUGGGAGAGGAUGGUAGAAUUCCAGGUGUAGCGGUGAAAUGCGUAGAGAUCUGGAGGAAUACCGAUGGCGAAGGCAGCCAUCUGGCCUAAUACUGACGCUGAGGUACGAAAGCAUGGGGAGCAAACAGGAUUAGAUACCCUGGUAGUCCAUGCCGUAAACGAUGUCUACUAGCCGUUGGGGCCUUUGAGGCUUUAGUGGCGCAGCUAACGCGAUAAGUAGACCGCCUGGGGAGUACGGUCGCAAGACUAAAACUCAAAUGAAUUGACGGGGGCCCGCACAA